UAACUUAGUGGCGGACGGGUGAGUAACGCGUGAGUACCUGCCUUUCAGAGGGGGAUAACGUUCUGAAAAGAACGCUAAUACCGCAUAACAUCGCAUGAUCAAAGGAGCAACGCUGGAAGAUGGACUCGCGUCCGAUUAGCCAGUUGGCGGGGUAACGGCCCACCAAAGCGACGAUCGGUAGCCGGACUGAGAGGUUGAACGGCCACAUUGGGACUGAGACACGGCCCAGACUCCUACGGGAGGCAGCAGUGGGGGAUAUUGCACAAUGGGGGAAACCCUGAUGCAGCAACGCCGCGUGAGGGAAGAAGGUUUUCGGAUUGUAAACCUCUGUUCUUAGUGACGAUAUGACGGUAGCUAAGGAGAAAGCUCCGGCUAACUACGUGCCAGCAGCCGCGGUAAUACGUAGGGAGCGAGCGUUGUCCGGAUUUACUGGGUGUAAAGGGUGCG
rnacentral:rRNA from 1 species